rnacentral:rRNA from 1 species
GACGAACGCUGGCGGCGUGCCUAACACAUGCAAGUCGAACGGGGUUGUUCCUUCGGGGACAACUUAGUGGCGAACGGGUGAGUAACGCGUGAGGAACCUGCCUUUCAGUGGGGGACAACAGUUGGAAACGACUGCUAAUACCGCAUAAUGUUGUCGGAUCGCAUGGUCUGACAACCAAAGCUUUAUGUGCUGAAAGAUGGUCUCGCGUCUGAUUAGCUAGAUGGCGGGGUAACGGCCCACCAUGGCGACGAUCAGUAGCCGGACUGAGAGGUUGAACGGCCGACAUUGGGACUGAGAUACGGCCCAGACUCCUACGGGAGGCAGCAGUGGGGAAUAUUGGGCAAUGGGCGCAAGCCUGACCCAGCAAUGCCGCGUGAAGGAAGAAGGCUUUCGGGUUGUAAACUUCUUUUGUCAGGGACGAGCAGAAGACGGUACCUGACGAAUAAGCCACGGCUAACUACGUG